GACGUAGGGCGCGAGCGUUGUCCGGAUUUAUUGGGCGUAAAGGGCGCGUAGGCGGCCACGCACGUCCGUUGUGAAAUCGCCCGGCUCAACUGGGCGGGUCAGCGGAUACGGUGUGGCUCGAGCAAGCUAGGGGCAAUGGAAUUCCCGGUGUAGCGGUGAAAUGCGCAGAUAUCAGGAGGAACACCGGUGGCGAAGGCGGGUCUCUGGGCCGAUACUGACGCUGGAGGAGCGAAAGCGUGGGAGCGAACAGG
rnacentral:rRNA from 1 species